rnacentral:rRNA from 1 species
GACGAACGCUGGCGGCGUGCCUAAUACAUGCAAGUAGGACGCAGUUGCGAACGGGUGAGUAACGCGUAGGUAACUGCCUAUUAGAGGGGGAUAACUAUUGGAAACGAUAGCUAAUACCGCAUACUAGUAGAUGGACCUUCGUUGUAUUAGCUAGUAGGUAGGGUAAUGGCCUACCUAGGCAACGAUACAUAGCCGACCUGAGGGGGGGAUCGGCCACCAUGGGGCUGAGACACGGCCCAGACUCCUACGGGAGGCAGCAGUAGGGAAUCUUCGGAAAAGGGGGGAAACCUGACCGAGCCACGCCGCGUUGGUGAAGAAGGUUUUCGGAGCGUAAAGCUCUGUUGGUAAGGAAGCGGUACUUAACCAGAAAGGGACGGCUAACUACGUGCCAGCAGCCGCGGUAAUUC